rnacentral:rRNA from 1 species
CGUCUAUAUACGUAUAGCAUAUCAAUAAGCGGAGGAAAAGAAACUAACUAGGAUUCCCUCAGUAACGGCGAGUGAAGCGGGAAGAGCUCAAAUUUGAAAUCUUCAAGGUUCUACCUUGACGAAUUGUAGUUUAAAGAAGUGUUUUCUGUUGGAGUUUUGGUAAAAGUUCUUUGGAAUAGGACAUCAUAGAGGGUGAGAAUCCCGUAUUUGACCAUUAUUUCCAGCUUUGUGAUACACUUUCAAAGAGUCGGAUUGUUUGGGAAUGCAGUCCAAAAUGGGUGGUAAAUUUCAUCUAAAGCUAAAUAUUGGCGAGAGACCGAUAGCGAACAAGUACCGUGAGGGAAAGAUGAAAAGAACUUUGAAAAGAGAGUUAAACAGUACGUGAAAUUGUCAAAAGGGAAGCGUUUGACACCAGUGUUGUUUUUCCGAAAAUCAAUUACGAAUGGCUUGAUUUUGUGUUGUAUUGACCUUAUCAGCUUUCUGCACUUUUUUCGAGUCUUUCUUAAUGCACUUUUCGGUUAACAAGUCAACAUCAAUUUCUUUUGUUGUAAAAGGGUAUGAGGAAGGUGGCUUUCUUUUCGGAGAAAGUGUUUAUAGCCUUGUGCCUCUGCAAUCGGAGAGAUUGAGGUCUGCAGCGUAGAUCCUUCGGGGUUAGAUACGUUUGUGCUAAGUUAUAGCUUUUCAUAGACAACUUGUUGACUAUGUUUAGUCUUGUAGCUUACUCGCUGACGCUAUUUUACCUACGCUUAGGAUGUUGACUGAUAUGUAGUCGUA